rnacentral:piRNA from 1 species
UAGGUUCUUUGAGCUCUGAGUGAUC